UCUUUCUUUUGUCUCUUUCUUUCUUUCUUUCGUCUAUCUUUCUUUCUUUCUUUCGUCUGUCUAUCCUUCUUUCGUCUCUUUCUUUCGUCUAUCCUUCUUUCGUCUCUUUCUUUCGUCUAUCUUUCUUUCAUCUCUUUCUUUCGUCUCUUUCUUUCGUCUAUCUUUCUUUCUUUCGUCUUUCUUUCGUCUAUCUUUCUUUCUUUCUUUCUUUCUUUCUUUCGUCUAUCUUUCUUUCUUUUAUCUUUCUUUUUGUCUUUCUUUCUUUCGUCUAUCUUUCUUUCGUCUAUCUUUCUUUGUUUUGCCUGUUUUUCUUUCUUUCUUUCUUUGUUUCAUCUAUCCUUCUUUCGUCUCUUUCUUUCGUCUAUCCUUUUGUCUCUUUUUUUCGUCUAUCUUUCUUUCGUCUCUUUCUUUCGUCUAUCUUUCUUUCGUCUUUCUUUCGUCUAUCUUUCUUUCUUUCGUCUUUCUUUCUUCCUUUCUUUCGUCUAUCUUUCUUUCUUUUGUCUAUCUUUCUUUCGUCUUUCUUUCGUCUAUCUUUCUUUCGUCUAUCUUUCGUCUUUCUUUUGUCUUUCUUCCUUUCUUUCGUCUAUCUAUCUUUCGUCUAUCUAACUUUCUUUCUUUCGUCUAUCUUUCUUCCUUUCUUUCGUCUAUCUUUCUUCCUUUCUUUCGUCUAUCUUUCUUUUGUCUAUCUUUCUUUCUUUCGUCUUUCUUUCGUCUCUCUUUCUUUCGUCUAUCUUUCGUCUUUCUUUUGUCUUUCUUCCUUUCUUUCGUCUAUCUAUCUUUCUUUCUUUCGUCUAUCUAUCUUUCGUCUAUCUAACUUUCUUUCUUUCUUUCGUCUAUCUUUCUUCCUUUCUUUCUUUCGUCUAUCUUUCUUCCUUUCUUUCGUCUCUUUCUUUCGUCUAUCUUUAUUUCGUCUAUCUUUCUUCCUUUCUUUCUUUCUUUCGUCUAUCUUUCUUUCUUUCGUCUCUUUCUUUCGUCUAUCUUUCUUUCAUCUUUCUUUCUUUCUUAUCUAUCUUUCUUUCGUCUAUCUUUCUUCCUUUCUUUCUUUCGUCUAUCUUUCUUCCUUUCUUUCUUUCUUUCGUCUAUCUUUCUUUCUUUCGUCUCUUUCUUUCUUUCGUGUAUCUUUCUUUCUUUCGUCUAUCUUUUUC
rnacentral:lncRNA from 1 species